UGGGGAAUAUUGCACAAUGGGGGAAACCCUGAUGCAGCGACGCCGCGUGAGCGAAGAAGGUUUUCGAAUCGUAAAGCUCUGUCCUAUGAGAAGAUAAUGACGGUAUCAUAGGAGGAAGCCCCGGCUAAAUACGUGCCAGCAGCCGCGGUAAUACGUAUGGGGCGAGCGUUGUCCGGAAUUAUUGGGCGUAAAGGGUACGUAGGCGGUCUAUUAAGUCAGGUGUGAAAGCGUGAGGCUUAACCUCAUAAAGCACUUGAAACUGAUAGACUUGAGUGAAGGAGAGGAAAGUGGAAUUCCUAGUGUAGCGGUGAAAUGCGUAGAUAUUAGGAGGAAUACCGGUGGCGAAGGCGACUUUCUGGACUUUUACUGACGCUCAGGUACGAAAGCGUGGGGAGCAAACAGG
rnacentral:rRNA from 1 species